rnacentral:tRNA from 1 species
GCAGUGGUGGUUCAGUGGUAGAAUACUUGUCUUCCAUGCAGAAGACCUGGGUUUGAUUCCUGGGCAAUGCA